AUUUAUAUAUGACUACUUGACUACUUUUCUUUUUGUUUCUUAACUAUGGAAGCAAUGCUUCCCUUGCUUCCAUGCAUGGCACACCACUGGCUAGGGCAUCUUCUUUUUUAGAUUAAAUUCAAAAGCACCAAGAUGCCUAUCAUAUAUUAAAUGCAGUCCAGCAGUCUUGGAAAUUCACAGACAAAAUGCAGAAACAUUAAAUUCAGUAAAUAUCUUUCACCAAAAUAUCAGAGGCUUGAGAAGCAAAAGUGAUGAAUUACUACACUCUUUUGAAAUAGAAAACAUAAACCCUCACAUAUUGUGUUUAAGUGAACAUCACAUGGUUGAACAGGAAUUGCUGCUCCUCUCAAUGGUUACCUGUUAGGCUCACGCUUUUGCUGAAAGAGCCUACAGAGGGAAGGAGUGUGUAUUUUUGCUAAGACAGAUCUACAUUUCAGUAAAAUUGAUAAGGAGCAAGACUCUGAAAUCUGUGCAAUACACCUAGUAACUAAAACAUCUCACCUAAUUAUAUUAAGCCUGUACAGAGCCCCUUCAGGAGAGGUUAAUGAAUUUCUAAGGAGACUAGAUGCAACUUUAAAAUAUCUACAAUCCAAUGAAUGAAUGAAUGAAUGUAUAAGGGGUGGGCCUUCUUGGCCCUUGCACUGCAACCACAGUGAUCCACAGUCUGAGUUUAUAAUCCGUGGAGACAUAAACAUAAACUAUAUAAAUGAAAGCAGUCAGAAAAAACAAGUAAAUUCUUUAAUAGGGACAUACAAUCUGUCACACACAGUGAAUUUUGCAACAAGAGUUCAAAAUUCCUCAAGCAUAGCCAUUGAUAAUAUCUUUAUAGAUAAUGCAAGGUUAAGCUCUUCUUGUACAUCUCCUAUAGUCGGUGGCCUCUUUGACCAUGAUGCUCAAUUUCUUACAGUACAUAAUAUUGUGGAAGUAAAUGCAACACCUUGAAACAGAGAACCAGAAAAAUAAAUAGUGAUACCAUUGUUCAAUUUCAACAUCUAUUAGAAAAUGAAAUGUGGGAACCUGUUUUCAAAAAUAAGGAUAGAAAAUUAUAAGUUUAACUCUUUUUUUAUAUAUUUUUUUUAAAUAUCUUCGAAGCCAGUUUUCCUAUGCAGAAUAAAAAACCACUGGAUUACACAAGGAAUAAAAAUAUCUUGUAAACAUAAAAGGCAUCUGUAUGUAGACAGCAGGAGCAGUAAUAAUCCCUACAUGAAAGCAUACUACAUAAGGUACUGCAAAAUCUUGAGUAGAGUUAUAAAAGAGGCUAAAAGGCAGUAUUACUGUAGGCUUAUAGCAACAUUGAAUAAUCAGAUAGAAACAACCUGGAAUAUAAUAAAUCAUGAAACAGGAAAAUCACAUCUGACUGAACAGAUACUAUCUCUCCUUAUAUAUGAUGUAAAAGUUGAGGACCCAGGAGAAAUUGCAGAUGCCUUCAGUACUUUUUUUCUAACAACUACAGAAAAUCUAAACUUGCAUCAGGAAGAGGAAGAUGUCAUUUCAUUUUUCAGAGAGGCAUUUCCUAGAAAAUUCCCUGGUAUUAAAACCAUUCCAACCUCUGAAACUG